rnacentral:rRNA from 1 species
GACGAACGCUGGCGGCGUGCCUAAUACAUGCAAAUAGAACGCACAGUUUAUACCGUAGCUUGCUACACCAUAGACUGUGAGUUGCGAACGGGUGAGUAACGCGUAGGUAACCUGCCUGGUAGCGGGGGAUAACUAUUGGAAACGAUAGCUAAUACCGCAUAAUAUUGAUUAUUGCAUGAUAAUUAAUUGAAAGGUGCAAUUGCACCACUACCAGAUGGACCUGCGUUGUAUUAGCUAGUAGGUGAGGUAACGGCUCACCUAGGCGACGAUACAUAGCCGACCUGAGAGGGUGAUCGGCCACACUGGGACUGAGACACGGCCCAGACUCCUACGGGAGGCAGCAGUAGGGAAUCUUCGGCAAUGGACGAAAGUCUGACCGAGCAACGCCGCGUGAGUGAAGAAGGUUUUCGGAUCGUAAAGCUCUGUUGUAAGAGAAGAACGGGUGUGAGAGUGGAAAGUUCACACUGUGACGGUAUCUUACCAGAAAGGGACGGCUAACUACGUG